rnacentral:rRNA from 1 species
CUUUCUUUGCUGGCGACCGGCGCACGGGUGAGUAACACGUAUCCAACCUGCCCUUUACUCGGGGAUAGCCUUUCGAAAGAAAGAUUAGUACCCGAUGGCAUAAUGAUUCCGCAUGGUUUCAUUAUUAAAGGAUUCCGGUAAAGGAUGGGGAUGCGUUCCAUUAGGUUGUUGGUGAGGUAACGGCCCACCAAGCCUUCGAUGGAUAGGGGUUCUGAGAGGAAGGUCCCCCACAUUGGAACUGAGACACGGUCCAA